GUGAAGGUGACUCACUGGUAGAGUGCUUGCCUUGCAUGCAUGAGGCUCUGGGUUCAAUUCCUCAUCACU
rfam:Dipodomys ordii contig_36169, whole genome shotgun sequence.